rnacentral:rRNA from 1 species
GCAACGCCGCGUGAAGGAAGAAGGCUUUCGGUUGUAAACUUCUUUUAAGGGGGAAGAGCAGAAGACGGUACCCCUUGAACUAAGCCACGGCUAACUACGUCGCC